rnacentral:rRNA from 1 species
ACCAGAGUACUAUGAAUAUUUAAAGAUUUAAAACUCAAAGAACUUGGCGGNNNNUUUAGACCACUCAGGGGAACCUGUCUCGUAAUCGACAAUCCACGUUGUACCUGACCUUUUUUUGUUUUCAGUUUGUAUACCGUUGUCGUCAGGUAACUUUUUAGAAAUUAGAAGUUAGCAGUAAAAAUAUUGAUGAUUUAGUACGUCAAAUCAAGGUGCAGCUAAUAAAAAGGGGAGGAUGGGUUACAAUUAUAUGAUUUAUAAUAACGGAUAAACAUACGAAUGUAUGUUAAAUUAUAAGGCGGACUUGAAAGUAAAUUGGAAUAUGUAAGUAAUUUGAAUGAGGCUCUGAAACGUGU